CCAAAGGCUCUUUUCAGAGCCAACUACGUGUUUGUAAAAGGUGUGU
rfam:Heterocephalus glaber contig179877, whole genome shotgun sequence.